GACGAACGCUGCGGCGUGCCUAAUACAUGCCAGUCGAGCGGACCGAACAGGAGCUUGCUCUUGUUCGGUUAGCGGCGGACGGGUGAGUAACACGUGGGUAACCUGCCCGUAAGACCGGGAUAACUCCGGGAAACCGGAGCUAAUACCGGAUAACACCGAAGACCGCAUGGUCUUUGGUUGAAAGGCGGCUUCGGCUGCCACUUACGGAUGGGCCCGCGGCGCAUUAGCUAGUUGGUGAGGUAACGGCUCACCAAGGCGACGAUGCGUAGCCGGCCUGAGAGGGUGACCGGCCACACUGGGACUGAGACACGGCCCAGACUCCUACGGGAGGCAGCAGUAGGGAAUCUUCCGCAAUGGACGAAAGUCUGACGGAGCGACGCCGCGUGAGCGAAGAAGGUCUUCGGAUCGUAAAGCUCUGUUGUUAGGGAAGAAGAAGCGUCGUUCGAACAGGGCGGCGCGGUGACGGUACCUAACGAGAAAGCCCCGGCUAACUACGUG
rnacentral:rRNA from 1 species